UACGAAGGGAGCUAGCGUUGUUCGGAAUUACUGGGCGUAAAGCGCACGUAGGCGGAUUGCUAAGUCAGGGGUGAAAUCCCGGGGCUCAACCUCGGAACUGCCUUUGAUACUGACAAUCUCGAGUCCGAUAGAGGUGGGUGGAAUUCCUAGUGUAGAGGUGAAAUUCGUAGAUAUUAGGAAGAACACCGGUGGCGAAAGGCGGCCCACUGGAUCGGUACUGACGCUGAGGUGCGAAAGCGUGGGGAGCAAACAGG
rnacentral:rRNA from 1 species